GUGAGGAAUAUUGGUCAAUGGGCGCAAGCCUGAACCAGCCAUGCCGCGUGCAGGAAGACGGUCCUAUGGAUUGUAAACUGCUUUUAUUUGGGAAUAAACUCCGGUACGUGUACCGGCCUGAAGGUACCAAAUGAAUAAGCACCGGCUAACUCCGUGCCAGCAGCCGCGGUAAUACGGAGGGUGCAAGCGUUAUCCGGAAUCAUUGGGUUUAAAGGGUCCGCAGGCGGUCUUAUAAGUCAGUGGUGAAAGCCUACAGCUCAACUGUAGAACUGCCAUUGAUACUGUAUGAUUUGAAUUCGAUCGAAGUGGGCGGAAUGUGACAUGUAGCGGUGAAAUGCUUAGAUAUGUCACAGAACACCGAUAGCGAAGGCAGCUCACUAGGUCUGGAUUGACGCUCAGGGACGAAAGCGUGGGGAGCAAACAGGAUUAGAAACCCGAGUAGUCC
rnacentral:rRNA from 1 species